rnacentral:rRNA from 1 species
UACGUAGGGUGCAAGCGUUGUCCGGAAUUAUUGGGCGUAAAGAGCUCGUAGGCGGUCUGUCGCGUCGGCUGUGAAAACCCGGGGCUCAACCCCGGGCCUGCAGUCGAUACGGGCAGACUAGAGUGCGGUAGGGGGAGACUGGAAUUCCUGGUGUAGCGGUGAAAUGCGCAGAUAUCAGGAGGAACACCAAUAGCGAAGGCAGCUCGCUGGGACGUUACUGACACUGAGGCGCGAAAGCGUGGGGAGCGAACAGG